rnacentral:lncRNA from 1 species
GAAUUUAUUCAUAUUUUUUUUGAACUUCUGAACUUCAUGAGUCGACCCCCAUGAGUCGACUCAAUGGCAAACUUGUUAUUUCCUCAAACUUCCCACGGGCUCAUUGUUUUUAUAAGGGUCCCUGUUCGUGAGACGACUCAUCCGCUCAUCUUCUUCCUUCUAAAAGCCGACUUCUCCAAUUCUUUUUGCUCCAAAUCCAAGGAUUUAUUUCGAGGCAAUUCUCCCUCCUCCUCUCCACCAAAAAUCACCACCUUGAAAAGGGAUUUUUGUGCUUUCUCCCAUUGUUUGGCAUGGUUGGAACGUGCCCUAGCACUCCACCGUUCUUCCCAAAUCCACUUCUUUUCUCCACCAAAAUCCCUCUUCACUCUCUUGUGAUCCCUCCUCCACUCAUUCACAUGUUCUUCCAAGUCUUCUAGUCUGCUACUGUAGUGUAUAUGGCUCCGAAGAUGAAACUUUCCCAAAGAAGAAAGUCAAUCCGUGAGACUGAAGAAAUUGUCCGAAAGAAAAGGCAAGCUGGUCAGUCUUCCAGUGCUCCCACUCCAGGUUCAGUAUCUGCUCAAGGUCCCCCUCAAUCCCUUCUAAGCCCCUGUAAGAAUCCUCUUUCUGAUAGAAAAGUCGAAACCGGGAAGAAUAUAGAUUUUCGGUUCUUUGAAAAAGAGGAUUUUACAUUUGCAACUAAGAUUAAAAACCA